GCAGUCGAACGAACCAUCCUGAAGAUUGAAGCUUGCUUCAUGAUUCAGACCUUGGUGAGUGGCGGACGGGUGAGUAACACGUGGGUAACCUGCCCAAAAGUGGGGGAUAACAUUUGGAAACAAGUGCUAAUACCGCAUAACAACUACUUUCACAUGAUCGUAGCUUGAAAGAUGGCUCUGCUAUCGCUUUUGGAUGGACCCGCGGCGUAUUAGCUAGUUGGUGAGGUAAUAGCUCACCAAGGCAAUGAUACGUAGCCGACCUGAGAGGGUAAUCGGCCACAUUGGGACUGAGACACGGCCCAAACUCCUACGGGAGGCAGCAGUAGGGAAUCUUCCACAAUGGGCGAAAGCCUGAUGGAGCAAUGCCGCGUGAGUGAAGAAGGUUUUCGGAUCGUAAAACUCUGUUGUUGAAGAAGAACAUGCGUGAGAGUAACUGUUCACGUACUGACGGUAUUCAACCAGAAAGCCACGGCUAACUACGUGCCAGCAGCCGCGGUAAUACGUAGGUGGCAAGCGUUGUCCGGAUUUAUUGGGCGUAAAGAGAAUGUAGGCGGUUUAUUAAGUUUGAAGUGAAAGCCCUCGGCUCAACCGAGGAAGUGCUUCGAAAACUGGUAAACUUGAGUGCAGAAGAGGAAAGUGGAACUCCAUGUGUAGCGGUGGAAUGCGUAGAUAUAUGGAAGAACACCAGUG
rnacentral:rRNA from 2 species